AACGAACGCUGGCGGCAUGCCUAACACAUGCAAGUCGAACGAGACCUUCGGGUCUAGUGGCGCACGGGUGCGUAACGCGUGGGAAUCUGCCCUUGGGUUCGGAAUAACAGUUGGAAACGACUGCUAAUACCGGAUGAUGACGUAAGUCCAAAGAUUUAUCGCCCAAGGAUGAGCCCGCGUAGGAUUAGCUAGUUGGUGAGGUAAAGGCUCACCAAGGCGACGAUCCUUAGCUGGUCUGAGAGGAUGAUCAGCCACACUGGGACUGAGACACGGCCCAGACUGCGACGGGAGGGAGCAGUAGGGAAUAUUGGGCAAUGGGCGAAAGCCUGGUCCAGCAAUGCCGGGUGAGUGAUGAAGGCCUUAGUGUUGUAAAGCUCUUUUACCCGAGAUGAUAAUGACAGUACCGGGAGAAUAAGCUCCGGCUAACUCCGUG
rnacentral:rRNA from 1 species